CUCUCCCACACUACCAUCUAAAAGACUAAAACCCUUCUCCCUAUAUAUAUGAUGCCUCAUAGCUGAGCAACCGUCAAUAGGGUUUCGAUCUCACUCCACAGCCGCAAACGGCGGCGCUAACCUCAAUUCCCACCCAUUUACAUUCUCAAGGCUGAUGGCUGAAAUUAGAUAUAUGCAGGUUUACUAUUUUUGGUUCUGAUGCAUUUUUCCACCGGAUAGAGUGCUACUCAACUGAACUGCACCAAAUCCUGCAAUGUUGAUCGGUCAAAUUGACGGUUUUGCAGUGGAACAAGACCGAUCCAACUCUGGCCCAACCUUGGCAUCCAUCAGUUUUCUUAUAUGCCCCUCUCUAGACUUUACUUUCUCUCUCUACAAUCAUCAUGGCAACAUCUGGCAUGAAGAACAAGAUCGAAAUCAACUGUAAUGAUCCGAUUUGUCACAUUAUACCUAUUCCUUUCUGAUCAAGCAUCUUUCGAAUGAAAGUUAUUCAUAGGUUAUCAAUGAUAGAGGUUUGAAGUAUUUCACUCUCAAAGACUUCGUUUGGAGAUGUUCAAGGAAAAGUAAAGUCUUUCAAGUGACCAUUUCCUUGUUAGUAGAGGCCUAUUUGGUGCUGCAUGUGUAAUUUGUAAAUUUUUAGUAUAAAUCAGUGGUGGUGGUGUUAGUUUUGCAUCCCUUGUAAUA